GAACGAAGCACUCUAUUUGAUUUUCUUCGGAAAUGAAGAUUUUGUGACUGAGUGGCGGACGGGUGAGUAACGCGUGGGUAACCUGCCUCAUACAGGGGGAUAACAGUUGGAAACGACUGCUAAUACCGCAUAAGCGCACAGGAUUGCAUGAUCCGGUGUGAAAAACUCCGGUGGUAUGGGAUGGACCCGCGUCUGAUUAGCCAGUUGGCAGGGUAACGGCCUACCAAAGCGACGAUCAGUAGCCGACCUGAGAGGGUGACCGGCCACAUUGGGACUGAGACACGGCCCAAACUCCUACGGGAGGCAGCAGUGGGGAAUAUUGCACAAUGGGGGAAACCCUGAUGCAGCGACGCCGCGUGAGCGAAGAAGUAUUUCGGUAUGUAAAGCUCUAUCAGCAGGGAAGAAGAAUGACGGUACCUGACUAAGAAGCACCGGCUAAAUACGUGCCAGCAGCCGCGGUAAUACGUAUGGUGCAAGCGUUAUCCGGAUUUACUGGGUGUAAAGGGAGCGCAGGCGGUGCGGCAAGUCUGAUGUGAAGGCCCGGGGCUCAACCCCGGUACUGCAUUGGAAACUGUCGUACUAGAGUGUCGGAGGGGUAAGUGGAAUUCCUAGUGUAGCGGUGAAAUGCGUAGAUAUUAGGAGGAACACCAGUGGCGAAGG
rnacentral:rRNA from 1 species